rnacentral:misc_RNA from 1 species
UUUCCGUAGGUGAACCUGCGGAAGGAUCAUUACCGAGUGUCGGGCCCUCCUGGGUCCACCCUCCCACCCGUGUUUACCGUCCCUUGUUUCUUCGGCGGCCCCGCCCACUGGGGCGGCCAGGGGGCCCUCGCGCCGCCAUGUUCGCGCGCGCCGGUGACGUCCAAGCGAAAAAUGGGUGAAGGUUGCCGACGGAGUGGAUCUUUCCGAUAGUUAAAACUUUCAACAACGGAUCUCUUGGUUCCG